GUCCUAGUAAUGCUGGUGGUCUUACCUGAUGACAAGCCACAGUCCAGAAGGAGGGCUUGAACCACAGCAGGUGCAUGUGACUGGGAGAUUUCUUAUGUUGGAGGAUCGGGAGCACAAGCCAUGGCCAUCUGGACAUCUAGACCACACGAGAUAAACAGUCUGGGCAGACACUGGCAUGAUGGGUGUGUGGGCCGCACCCGGGAGUCACUGUGUGCCCAACUGCUACCUGGACUUCAAGAGAUCCAGGACAAGAUGAUCUCAUGUUGUUAACACCAACACCUCAGAGGAAACUGGAACCACCACAAGGUCCAACACAGGCUUCAAGACCUAGCCACUCUGUUGACCUUGACCCUCAACUUGGCCGCUCCGUUGACCUUGACCUUCAAUUUGAUAUGAUUAAAAACAUCAAGUAACUUAACAAUGUGAUGACCCUGGAGUACAGACACAAUUUUAAUGUGGAUGUCUAGUAGAAAACACUGAAAUCCACACUCUGGUGGAAACUAGACAUAGUUCCUUAUGUUUCUUUAGUGUCACCAGAGCCUACCUAGAAGAAGCAAGACUUAUACCCUGAUUUCUAUAGAUCUUUACCUUUAUCUUAUGUACCUAACACAGUGUCAUCUUACAAUAUUCUUUGUCAACUAUUUCCUGCCCUACCAUUAUGUAUAUAGUCUUCAAUAAAUAUAAGGUUUCAUUGUG